GCCUUCAUGGUGUAAUGGUCAGCACACUCGGCGCGUAUUCAAAAGGUCCGAAGUUCGAUUCCUUGCGAGGGCA
rnacentral:tRNA from 1 species